rnacentral:rRNA from 1 species
CCUACGGGCGGCUGCAGUGGGGAAUAUUGGACAAUGGGCGAAAGCCUGAUCCAGCCAUGCCGCGUGUGUGAAGAAGGCCUUCGGGUUGUAAAGCACUUUCAGUGGGGAAGAAAGCCUUGGGGCUAAUACCCUCGAGGAAGGACAUCACCCACAGAAGAAGCACCGGCUAACUCCGUGCCAGCAGCCGCGGUAAUACGGAGGGUGCGAGCGUUAAUCGGAAUUACUGGGCGUAAAGCGCGCGUAGGCGGUCUGAUAAGCCGGUUGUGAAAGCCCCGGGCUCAACCUGGGAACGGCAUCCGGAACUGUCAGGCUAGAGUGCAGAAGAGGAAGGUAGAAUUCCCGGUGUAGCGGUGAAAUGCGUAGAGAUCGGGAGGAAUACCAGUGGCGAAGGCGGCCUUCUGGACUGACACUGACGCUGAGGUGCGAAAGCGUGGGUAGCAAACAGGAUUAGAUACCCGAGUAGUC